rnacentral:misc_RNA from 1 species
GAUGAAGAACGUAGCGAAAUGCGAUAAGUAAUGUGAAUUGCAGAAUUCAGUGAAUCAUCGAAUCUUUGAACGCACAUUGCGCCCGCCAGUAUUCUGGCGGGCAUGCCUGUUCGAGCGUCAUUACAACCCUCAGGCCCCCGGGCCUGGCGUUGGGGAUCGGGGAAGCCCCCUGCGGGCACAACGCCGUCCCCCAAAUACAGUGGCGGUCCCGCCGCAGCUUCCAUUGCGUAGUAGCUAACACCUCGCAACUGGAGAGCGGCGCGGCCACGCCGUAAAACACCCAACUUCUGAAUGUUGACCUCGAAUCAGGUAGGAAUACCUGCUGAACUUAAGCAUAUCAAUAAGCGGAGGA